UUUCCUUCUCCAGUCCAUUUGACAGAAGAGGCAAACAGGCAAUCAAGUUGAAGUGACUUGCCCAGGAUCACAGAGCUAAUUUGUCUGGUGGAGGGAAGGAGCAUUGCUUGGAAAGGAUUGGAUUCCAGCCCUGGCUCUGCCUCUUACUUGCUGUGUAAUAGUGGAAAAUGUGGUUCAAAGAGGACAACUGGCUUGCCAAAAGUCACCUGGGUAAUAAGUAUGAAAAAGGAGGAAAAGACCUAAUGAUCUCAUGACAUCUUUCUGCUGGAUUUGUCAUUGGGAUUACUGUGGCCUCUCUCAUCAUUCUUAUGAUUACAUGCAAGGUCAGAUCCUAUCACACAAAAGGACAACUCUGGAGUGCAGACAGUGGCAAUUGUUUUGCCUGCUAAAGGUAUUAGGGUUAAAAUGAUAUCAAAGACAAUUAAACAUGGAAAAUAAACAUUGAACUAUGUGCCAAGGACCUAAAAGAACUCAAGAUCUGCUUGAAGAAAUCAGGAAAUAUAUUUAUUGGGAAUUGAGAAGCUUGAUUAAGAAAAAAUAAUAAAUUCUGUCUCUUUUCUUUGAA